rnacentral:tRNA from 1 species
GCCGGAGUGGCGGAACCAGGUAACGCGCGUGGCUCGAGACCACGUGUCCCUUGUGGACUUGCAGGUUCGAAGCGAUUUUCACAUUUUAUGAAAUUAUCAAAAAUGAAAAAUUAUAAACGAAUUUAAUAAAAUAGAAUCUUGUGUGAAAAUCGCAAAAAUCCUGCCUCCGGCG